UUGCAUAUAGUAAUAUAAUUUCUUGUUUAAUAAUUUUGUAAGCUAUUUCCGUAUGCACGCUUUUUUAUUUUUGCACUUGAUGUAUCUAUGACGCAACCAUCUUCCACGUCCUUUUAAUUCUCCGUCUCACCUUCACUCCUUCAACCUCACUCAGUUGGAGAACACCGAAUCAGUGAAGAAAAUUAUUCAGAUUUAAUAAAACCUUCCCAUUAAAAUAAAAUAAAAAGGAGCAAGCGUUUUUUCAGGGAGAGAAAAUGCGAGUGAAAGAGAUGCACCCACUGUGCUGUAUCUCCCUCGAGAGUCCCGGAAUCGGCAACCAUUCGCCGGAGCGCGAGGCGGCGCCGGCCGCGAUUUCCCCAACCAGGAGCCUCCCGGUGGCGGCCUCCUACGGCAAUGCCGCUCAGGGAUCGGAGACCACCGUCGCCGGCGUUCUCUACAAGUGGACCAAUUACGGCAAAGGCUGGAGAUCCAGGUGGUUCCUCCUGCGGAACGGCGUCCUCUCGUACGCCAAGAUCCGCUGUCCGGAGAAUCUCAUCCUCCUCACUCCUUCCGACGACGUUCGCCUCAUCGGAGAGGUUUCCACCAGCCGCCUCGCACGUAAGAACAGCGCCACCACCGUCACGCGACGGAAGCACCGCAAAGCUUCUUCUUCUUCUUCUUCUUCUUCCGGCGUUGUCCAUCUCAAGCAGAUUUCGUCAUUCAGAGAGAGCAAAUCAGAUGAUCGGCGUUUCUAUAUAUUUACAGCAACAAAGACGCUCCAUCUGAGAACUGAUUCUAGGAAAGAUAGGGUGUCUUGGAUACACGCGUUGGUAUCAACACGUGGCCUGUAUCCUCUUCAACCACUCAAUGAUCAUCUCUUGCUUGCACCCAAUGACAUAUCAAUGUCAACGGAGCGUCUUAAGACACGCUUGCUCGAAGAGGGUACCAGUGAGAACCUUGUGAAGGAGUGCGAACAAAUCAUGCUCUCAGAGUUAUCCGAAAUGCAAGGACAACUUGAAGUUCUUUGUCAAGAGCGAUCUAAUUUGCUUGACACAAUAAGGCAGUUGGAGGCAGCUAAUACUGAACCUGAGGCCUCUGCAAUACACGAUGGUGAAUACCAGUUAACAAAGAAUGAGUUUUCAAGUCUUAGGCGCGGAAAAUAUAGUGAAUGUAGUACAACUGAAUCAUCUGAUGAUAUUGAGAAACAAGAGAUGGAAGAAGUGUCAGACGAAGAUGAAAUCUCAUAUUAUGAUACGAGAGAGUGUUUUCCAGAGCCUGAUUGCAAGUGUGACUCUGCAGGAGCUAUGAAGCAAGUUGACAGGUGCAGGGAAGCCAACUCACAGUGCAUUGAUACAGAGAUCAUUCAUCCGGAGAAAAUGAUCUGUAAUUAUAAGCACCCUCACAUUGCAAGGCGAAGGAAACUUCCAGAUCCUGUUGAGAAAGAGAAGGGUGUUAGUCUUUGGUCAAUGAUCAAGGACAACGUGGGAAAAGAUCUCACGAGAGUUUGUCUCCCGGUAUACUUUAAUGAGCCGAUAUCAUCCUUACAAAAAUGUUGUGAGGACUUGGAGUACUCUUAUCUUCUGGAUCAAGCUUAUGAGUACGGAAAAUCAGGAAACAAUCUCCUUCGGGCACUGUAUGUUGCUGCCUUUGCAGUUUCUGGAUAUGCGUCAUCUGAAGGUCGUAAUUGUAAACCCUUUAAUCCUUUACUAGGAGAAACCUACGAGGCUGAUUACCCCGAGAAAGGAAUUCGCUUCUUUUCUGAGAAGGUUAGUCACCAUCCAACUCUCAUUGCCUGCCACUGCGAAGGUAGAGGAUGGAAGUUUUGGGCUGACAGCAACAUCCAUUCAAAGUUUUGGGGAAGGUCAAUUCAGCUUGACCCCGUGGGUGUUCUGACCCUAGAGUUCAAUGAUGGUGAAAUAUUUCAGUGGAGCAAGGUCACCACCACGAUCUAUAAUCUUAUCCUUGGGAAAAUAUACUGUGAUCAUCAUGGGAACAUGGAUAUACGUGGUAAUCGUAAAUAUUCAUGCAGACUCAAGUUCAAAGAGCAGACGAUCCUCGACCGAAAUCCUCGUCAGGUGCAUGGAUUUGUCGAAGAUGCAACGGGUAAAAAAGUAGCCACAUUAUUUGGCAAAUGGGAUGAUAGCAUGUAUUAUAUGAGUGGUAAUGUGAAUGUUAAGCCUAAAGAUUUCUCUUCAUCAAACGCAUCCUUGUUGUGGAAAAGGACUAUGCCAUCUCCUAAUCUCACCCGGUAUAAUUUGACACCAUUUGCCAUCACUCUGAAUGAGCUUACUCCGGGACUGAAGCCUUUUCUGAUCCCGGGUAUUUGAUGACGGAUUAAAGGAGAAGCUCCCGCCCACAGAUUCCAGGCUCAGACCAGAUCAACGGCAUCUAGAGAAUGGGGAAUACGAGAAGGCUAAUUUCGAGAAACAAAGGUUGGAAAAGCGACAGAGAAUGUCGAGGAAAAUACAAGAAAAUGGUUGGAAGCCUAGGUGGUUCCGAAGAGAAGGUGAAAAUGGAACAUUUCGAUACGUUGGUGGGUAUUGGGAAGCAAAAGACCUUGGAAGAUGGGACGGGUGCCCUAAUAUAUUUGGUGAAAUUAAUGAAGACUCUGUCGAUCGGUUAGGUGCAUUUUAAUUUGGUUCAGAAUGGCUUGGCAAAACGCGGCUGAAAUCGGGAUCCUAAAGCAGUGUACAGGCUUUGUGAAUUGUCGUGUGUUGUUGAUAUAUGAAAAAUGAACGCAGUGGAAAGGGUAGCAAAAUUAACUUCCAGCAUUUGUUUCAGGACGCUGCUUUGUGAAAUUAAACGACAUACUUUACAUCCAGGGUUAGUACAGUUGUAAUUUUUUUUAAAUCAGGACCUGGUUUUGCGCGGAAGAGAGUUGGAAAUUGAAAUUGUUACUUGGUCUUGGAUGUACGUAUAUAUAUGAGAAAAAUCCAGCGUAGGAACAGUUGUUAGAUCACGCGUCAUCUCUUUGUCACAUUAUCAUAAUUUUGCCUUUUAUUUUUAUAUUGUUUUGUUUUUGUUAUGUAAUUAUUUUGGGGUAUUAGCUUGUGUAAGGAUAGAUCCCAUUACCAUGUUAUAUACUCAGCCCCAAAGGCUAUGGAUUUAUUAGCUAAUUGAUUUCAAUUUUCGGAGAAAUAAAUGAUGAGAUGUUUUAUCA